rnacentral:rRNA from 1 species
AACGAACGCUGGCGGCAUGCCUAACACAUGCAAGUCGAACGAGACCUUCCGGCCUAGUGGCGCACGGGUGCGUGACGCGUGGGAACCUGCCCUUGGGUUCGGAAUAACUGACCGAAAGGGGUGCUAAUACCGGUUAAUGUCUUCGGACCAAAGAUUUAUCGCCUUUGGAUGGGCGCUGGUUGGAUUAGCUGGUUGGUAGGGUAAAAGCCUACCAAGGCGACGAUCCAUGGCUGGUGUGGGAGGAUGAUCAGCCACACUGGGACUGAGACACGGCCCAGACUCCUACGGGAGGCAGCAGUGGGGAAUAUUGGGCAAUGGGCGAAAGCCUGAUACAGCAAUGCCGGGGAAGUGAUGAAGGCCUUAGGGUUGUAAAGCUCUUUUAGCCGGGAUGUUAAUGACAGUACCGGGUGAAGAAGCACCGGCUAACUCCGUG